rnacentral:rRNA from 1 species
CCUACGGGAGGCAGCAGUGAGGAAUAUUGGUCAAUGGACGAGAGUCUGAACCAGCCAAGUAGCGUGAAGGAUGACUGCCCUAUGGGUUGUAAACUUCUUUUAUAUGGGAAUAAAAUGUUCCACGUGUGGGAUUUUGUAUGUACCAUAUGAAUAAGGAUCGGCUAACUCCGUGCCAGCAGCCGCGGUAAUACGGAGGAUCCGAGCGUUAUCCGGAUUUAGUGGGUUUAAAGGGAGCGUAGGUGGAUUGUUAAGUCAGUUGUGAAAGUUUGCGGCUCAACCGUAAAAUUGCAGUUGAAACUGGCAGUCUUGAGUACAGUAGAGGUGGGCGGAAUUCGUGGUGUAGCGGUGAAAUGCUUAGAUAUCACGAAGAACUCCGAUUGCCAAGGCAGCUCACUGGACUGCAACUGACACUGAGGCUCGAAAGUGUGGGUAUCAAACAGGAUUAGAUACCCCAGUAGUC